rnacentral:rRNA from 1 species
CCCCACUGCUAUCGAGGUGGGACUUAGCCAGGCCAGUCGAACGACUCGGACUAUGGCGAGAAGUGGCAAACUGCUCAGUAACACGUAGCUAACCUACCCUCAGGGCGGAGACAACCCCGGGAAACUGGGGUUAAUCCCCGAUAGGUGUGGAUUCCUGGAAUGGUGUCACGCCGAAACGUUAACACACCAUGUUUGUGUACACGCCUGAGGAUGGGGCUGCGGCCGAUCAGGCAGUUGGUGAGGUAACGGCUCACCAAACCUUUGACCGGUACGGGCCGUGAGAGCGGUAGCCCGGAGAUGGACACUGAGACAAGGGUCCAGGACCUACGGGUCGCAGCCGGUACGAAACCUCCACAAUGCACGAAAGUGCGAUGGGGUUACCUCGAGUGCCGCCUGAAGAAGGCGGCUUUUCCAUUGUGUAAUGAGCCGUGGGAAUAAGGGGGGGGCAAGACUGGUGUCAGCCGCCGCGGUAACACCGGCCCCCCCGAGUGGUGGGGAUGUUUAUUUGGCCUAAAACGUCCGUAGCCAGCUAGGUAAAUCUCUCGUUAAAUCCAGCGUCCUAAGCGUUGGGCUGCGAGAGAGACUGCCAAGCUAGAGGGUGGGAGAGGUCAGCGGUAUUUCUGGGGUAGGGGCGAAAUCCAUUGAUCCCAGGAGGACCACCAGUGGCGAAGGCUGCUGACUAGAACACGCCUGACGGUGAGGGACGAAAGCUGGGGUAGCGAAUCGGAUUAGAUACCCGAGUAGUCCCAGCCGUAAACGAUGCAGGCUAGGUGUUGGGUUGGCCACGUGCCGACUCAGUGCCACAGGGAAGCCAUUAAGCCUGCUGCCUGGGGAGUACGGUCGCAAGGCUGAAACUUAAAGGAAUUGGCGGGAGAGCACCACCAGGCGUGAAGCCUGCGGUUU